rnacentral:rRNA from 1 species
CCAUCCCGAACACAGCAGAUAAGCCUGCCCGCGUUCCUGACUGUACUGAAGUGCGCGAGCCUUCGGGAACUCUGGAUCGCUGCCAUGC